UACGGAGGGGGCUAGCGUUGUUCGGAAUUACUGGGCGUAAAGCGCACGUAGGCGGCUUUGUAAGUUAGAGGUGAAAGCCCGGGGCUCAACUCCGGAAUUGCCUUUAAGACUGCAUCGCUAGAAUUGUGGAGAGGUAAGUGGAAUUCCGAGUGUAGAGGUGAAAUUCGUAGAUAUUCGGAAGAACACCAGUGGCGAAGGCGACUUACUGGACACAUAUUGACGCAGAGGUGCGAAAGCGUGGGGGGCAAACAGG
rnacentral:rRNA from 1 species